GUGAGUAACACGUGAGCAACCUGCCCUGGACUCUGGGAUAAGCGCUGGAAACGGCGUCUAAUACUGGAUAUGAGCCUUCAUCGCAUGGUGGGGGUUGGAAAGAUUUUUUGGUCUGGGAUGGGCUCGCGGCCUAUCAGCUUGUUGGUGAGGUAAUGGCUCACCAAGGCGUCGACGGGUAGCCGGCCUGAGAGGGUGACCGGCCACACUGGGACUGAGACACGGCCCAGACUCCUACGGGAGGCAGCAGUGGGGAAUAUUGCACAAUGGGCGGAAGCCUGAUGCAGCAACGCCGCGUGAGGGAUGACGGCCUUCGGGUUGUAAACCUCUUUUAGCAGGGAAGAAGCGAGAGUGACGGUACCUGCAGAAAAAGCGCCGGCUAACUACGUGCCAGCAGCCGCGGUAAUACGUAGGGCGCAAGCGUUAUCCGGAAUUAUUGGGCGUAAAGAGCUCGUAGGCGGUUUGUCGCGUCUGCUGUGAAAUCCCGAGGCUCAACCUCGGGCCUGCAGUGGGUACGGGCAGACUAGAGUGCGGUAGGGGAGAUUGGAAUUCCUGGUGUAGCGGUGGAAUGCGCAGAUAUCAGGAGGAACACCGAUGGCGAAGGCAGAUCUCUGGGCCGUAACUGACGCUGAGGAGCGAAAGGGUGGGGAGCAAACAGGCUUAGAUACCCUGGUAGUCCACCCCGUAAACGUUGGGAACUAGUUGUGGGGACCAUUCCACGGUUUCCGUGACGCAGCUAACGCA
rnacentral:rRNA from 1 species